rnacentral:rRNA from 1 species
UACCGGGGCUAAACAUAUUACCGAAGCUGUGGACUACACCAUUAGGUGUAGUGGUAGGAGAGCGUUCUAAGGGCGUUGAAGGUCGAUCGUGAGGACGGCUGGAGCGCUUAGAAGUGAGAAUGCCGGUAUGAGUAGCGAAAGACAGGUGAGAAUCCUGUCCACCGUAUGACUAAGGUUUCCUGGGGAAGGCUCGUCCGCCCAGGGUUAGUCGGGACCUAAGCCGAGGCCGAUAGGCGUAGGCGAUGGACAACAGGUUGAUAUUCCUGUACCAGUUGUUUUUGUUUGAGCAAUGGAGGGACGCAGUAGGCUAAGGAAUGCAUGCGAUUGGAAGUGCAUGUCCAAGCAAUGAGUCUUGAGUAGAGUUAAAUGCUUUACUCUUUAAGGACAAGUUGUGACGGGGAGCGAAAUAAUAGUAGCGAAGUUCCUGAUGUCACACUGCCAAGAAAAGCUUCUAGUGAGAAAAUAACUGCCCGUACCGUAAACCGACACAGGUAGUCGAGGAGAGUAUCCUAAGGUGAGCGAGCGAACUCUCGUUAAGGAACUCGGCAAAAUGACCCCGUAACUUCGGGAGAAGGGGUGCUGACGACCGUCAGCCGCAGUGAAUAGGCCCAAGCGACUGUUUAUCAAAAACACAGGUCUCUGCAAAAUCGUAAGAUGAAGUAUAGGGGCUGACGCCUGCCCGGUGCUGGAAGGUUAAGAGGAUGGGUUAGCUUCGGCGAAGCUCAGAAUUGAAGCCCC